AUUGAACGCUGGCGGCAGGCCUAACACAUGCAAGUCGAACGGCAGCACAGAAGAGCUUGCUCUUUGGGUGGCGAGUGGCGGACGGGUGAGUAAUGUCUGGGAAACUGCCCGAUGGAGGGGGAUAACUACUGGAAACGGUAGCUAAUACCGCAUAACGUCGCAAGACCAAAGUGGGGGACCUUCGGGCCUCACACCAUCGGAUGUGCCCAGAUGGGAUUAGCUAGUAGGUGGGGUAAUGGCUCACCUAGGCGACGAUCCCUAGCUGGUCUGAGAGGAUGACCAGCAGCACUGGAACUGAGACACGUUCCAGACUCCUACGGGAGGCAGCAGUGGGGAAUAUUGCACAAUGGGCGCAAGCCUGAUGCAGCCAUGCCGCGUGUAUGAAGAAGGCCUUCGGGUUGUAAAGUACUUUCAGCGGGGAGGAAGGCGGUGAGGUUAAUAACCUCGCCGAUUGACGUUACCCGCAGAAGAAGCACCGGCUAACUCCGUGCCAGCAGCCGCCGCAG
rnacentral:rRNA from 1 species